GACGUAGGAGGCGAGCGUUGUCCGGAUUCAUUGGGCGUAAAGAGCACGCAGGCGGUUUGGCAAGUCGGACGUGAAAAUCCGGGGCUUAACCCCGGACCUGCAUCCGAAACUGCCCGACUAGAGGUAGGUAGGGGAGAUCGGAAUUCCUGGUGUAGCGGUGAAAUGCGCAGAUAUCAGGAGGAACACCGGUGGCGAAGGCGGAUCUCUGGGCCUUACCUGACGCUCAGGUGCGAAAGCUAGGGGAGCGAACAGG
rnacentral:rRNA from 1 species